rnacentral:rRNA from 1 species
GACGAACGCUGGCGGCGUGCUUAACACAUGCAAGUCGAACGGAAAGCCCCUGCUCUUGUGGCGUCCUCGGGUUGCGAACCGGUUAGUAACACGUGCUUUACCAGCCCUUUACUUUGGGGUAACUUCAAUAAACUCCGGCUAAUACCGGAUUGGAGCAUCAGCUUCAUGGUAGGGCUUGGAAAGUUUCGGCGGAUUGUGAUGGACUUGCGGCUUAUCAGCUGGUUGGUGCGGCAGUGGCUUACAAAGGCUUUGACGGGUAGCCGGCCUGAGAGGGUGACCGGCUACAUUGGGACUGAGAUACGGACGAGGCUCCGACGGGAGGCAGAAGUGGGGAGUAUGGCACAAUGAGCGGAAGCGCGAGGCGGAAGCCGGGCGUGUGGAUGGCGGCCUUCUGGUGGUAAAGCAGUUUCGGCUGUGACGAAGCGUGAGUGACGGUAAUGGGUAAAGAAGCACCGGCUAACUACGUG